rnacentral:rRNA from 1 species
AUGAACGCUGGCGGCGUGCUUAACACAUGCAAGUCGAACGAUGAAGCCCAGCUUGCUGGGUGGAUUAGUGGCGAACGGGUGAGUAACACGUGAGCAACCUGCCCCUGACUCUGGGAUAAGCGCUGGAAACGGUGUCUAAUACUGGAUAUGUCCCAUCGCCGCAUGGUGUGUGGGUGGAAAGAUUUUUCGGUUGGGGAUGGGCUCGCGGCCUAUCAGCUUGUUGGUGAGGUAAUGGCUUACCAAGGCGUCGACGGGUAGCCGGCCUGAGAGGGUGACCGGCCACACUGGGACUGAGACACGGCCCAGACUCCUACGGGAGGCAGCAGUGGGGAAUAUUGCACAAUGGGCGGAAGCCUGAUGCAGCAACGCCGCGUGAGGGAUGACGGCCUUCGGGUUGUAAACCUCUUUUAGCAGGGAAGAAGCUUUUGUGACGGUACCUGCAGAAAAAGCACCGGCUAACUACGUGCCAGCAGCCGCGGUAAUACGUAGGGUGCAAGCGUUAUCCGGAAUUAUUGGGCGUAAAGAGCUCGUAGGCGGUUUGUCGCGUCUGUCGUGAAAUCCUCAGGCUCAACCUGAGGCUUGCGGUGGGUACGGGCAGACUUGAGUGCGGUAGGGGAGAUUGGAAUUCCUGGUGUAGCGGUGGAAUGCGCAGAUAUCAGGAGGAACACCGAUGGCGAAGGCAGAUCUCUGGGCCGUAACUGACGCUGAGGAGCGAAAGGGUGGGGAGCAAACAGGCUUAGAUACCCUGGUAGUCCACCCCGUAAACGUUGGGAACUAGUUGUGGGUCCUUUCCACGGAUUCCGUGACGCAGCUAACGCAUUAAGUUCCCCGCCUGGGGAGUACGGCCGCAAGGCUAAAACUCAAAGGAAUUGACGGGGACCCGCACAAGCGGCGGAGCAUGCGGAUUAAUUCGAUGCAACGCGAAGAACCUUACCAAGGCUUGACAUAUUCGAGAACACCCUGGAAACAGGGGACUCUUUGGACACUCGUUUACAGGUGGUGCAUGGUUGUCGUCAGCUCGUGUCGUGAGAUGUUGGGUUAAGUCCCGCAACGAGCGCAACCCUCGUUCUAUGUUGCCAGCACGUUAUGGUGGGAACUCAUGGGAUACUGCCGGGGUCAACUCGGAGGAAGGUGGGGAUGACGUCAAAUCAUCAUGCCCCUUAUGUCUUGGGCUUCACGCAUGCUACAAUGGCCGGUACAAUGGGCUGCGAUACCGUGAGGUGGAGCGAAUCCCAAAAAGCCGGUCCCAGUUCGGAUUGUAGUCUGCAACUCGACUACAUGAAGUCGGAGUCGCUAGUAAUCGCAGAUCAGCAACGCUGCGGUGAAUACGUUCCCGGGUCUUGCACUCACCGC